rnacentral:rRNA from 1 species
AGAGUUUGAUCCUGGCUCAGGAUAAACGCUGGCGGCGUGCCUAAUACAUGCAAGUCGAUCGAUAGAAGUCCAGCUUGCUGGACGGAAAUAGAGGCGAACGGGUGAGUAAUACGUAAGCAACCUGCCCACGAAGACCGGGAUAAUCCCUGGAAACGGGGACUAAGACCGGAUAGGUACACAGAUCGCAUGAUCAGUGUAUUAAAGGAGAGAGACACUGGUGGAUGGGCUUACGGUGCAUUAGCUGGAUGGUGAGGUAACGGCCCACCAUGGCGAUGAUGCAUAGCCGGGCUGAGAGGCUGAACGGCCACAUUGGGACUGAGACACGGCCCAGACUCCUACGGGAGGCAGCAGUAGGGAAUUUUCGGCAAUGGGGGCAACCCUGACCGAGCAACGCCGCGUGAGUGAUGAAGGUCUUCGGAUUGUAAAGCUCUGUUGUAAGGGAAGAACGGCAUCUAGAGAAUAGGUGAGUGACGGUACCUUACCAGAAAGCUACGGCUAACUACGUGCCAGCAGCCGCGGUAAUACGUAGGUAGCGAGCGUUAUCCGGAAUUAUUGGGCGUAAAGGGUGCGUAGGCGGCCUGUUAAGUUUAUGGUGAAAGCGUGGGGCUCAACCCCAUAAAGCCAUAGAUACUGGCAGGCUAGAGUACUGGAGAGGGUAGUGGAAUUCCAUGUGUAGCGGUGAAAUGCGUAGAUAUAUGGAGGAACACCGGUGGCGAAGGCGGCCUACUGGACAGAGACUGACGCUGAGGCACGAAAGCGUGGGGAGCAAAUAGGAUUAGAUACCCUAGUAGUCCACGCCGUAAACGAUGAAUGCUAGGUAUCGGGGCGACCCGGUGCCGAAACUAACGCGAUAAGCAUUCCGCCUGUGGAGUAUGCACGCAAGUGUGAAACAUAAAGGAAUUGACGGGGGCCCGCACAAGCGGUGGAGUAUGUGGUUUAAUUCGACGCAACGCGAAGAACCUUACCAGGCCUUGACAUCCCUUGCAAAAUCCUGGAGACAGGAGGGAGGCUAUCAAGGAGACAGGUGGUGCAUGGUUGUCGUCAGCUCGU